CCUACGGGUGGCAGCAGUGAGGAAUAUUGGUCAAUGGGCGGAAGCCUGAACCAGCCAAGUAGCGUGCAGGAUGACGGCCCUGCGGGUUGUAAACUGCUUUUAUACGGGAAUAACGCGCCUUACGUGUAGGCCUUUGCAUGUACCGUAUGAAUAAGCACCGGCUAAUUCCGUGCCAGCAGCCGCGGUAAUACGGAAGGUCCGGGCGUUAUCCGGAUUUAUUGGGUGUAAAGGGAGCGUAGGCGGCAUGUCAAGCGUGCUGUGAAAUGUCCGGGCUCAACCCGGGCCUUGCAGCGCGAACUGGCGUGCUGGAGUGCGGGGAAAGCAGGCGGAAUUCGUAGUGUAGCGGUGAAAUGCGUAGAUAUGACGAAGAACCCCGAUUGCGAAGGCAGCUUGCUGCAGCGGAACUGACGCUGAUGCUCGAAAGCGCGGGUAUCGAACAGGAUUAGAUACCCUAGUAGUC
rnacentral:rRNA from 1 species